rnacentral:rRNA from 1 species
UGCUUACACAUGCAAGUCGAACGGUGAAGCCCAGCUUGCUGGGUGGAUCAGUGGCGAACGGGUGAGUAACACGUGAGUAACCUGCCCCUGACUCUGGGAUAAGCCUUGGAAACGAGGUCUAAUACCGGAUACGUGACGCUCAGGCAUCUGAUGCGUCUGGAAAGAUUUAUCGGUCAGGGAUGGACUCGCGGCCUAUCAGCUUGUUGGUGGGGUAACGGCCCACCAAGGCGACGACGGGUAGCCGGCCUGAGAGGGCGACCGGCCACACUGGGACUGAGACACGGCCCAGACUCCUACGGGAGGCAGCAGUGGGGAAUAUUGCACAAUGGGCGCAAGCCUGAUGCAGCGACGCCGCGUGAGGGAUGAAGGCCUUCGGGUUGUAAACCUCUUUCAGCAGGGAAGAAGCGCAAGUGACGGUACCUGCAGAAGAAGCGCCGGCUAACUACGUGCCAGCAGCCGCGGUAAUACGUAGGGCGCAAGCGUUGUCCGGAAUUAUUGGGCGUAAAGAGCUCGUAGGCGGUCUGUCGCGUCUGCUGUGAAAACUCGAGGCUCAACCUCGGGCUUGCAGUGGGUACGGGCAGACUAGAGUGCGGUAGGGGAGACUGGAAUUCCUGGUGUAGCGGUGGAAUGCGCAGAUAUCAGGAGGAACACCGAUGGCGAAGGCAGGUCUCUGGGCCGCAACUGACGCUGAGGAGCGAAAGCAUGGGGAGCGAACAGGAUUAGAUACCCUGGUAGUCCAUGCCGUAAACGUUGGGCACUAGGUGUGGGGCUCAUUCCACGAGUUCCGUGCCGC